rnacentral:rRNA from 1 species
GACGUAGGGUGCGAGCGUUGUCCGGAUUUAUUGGGCGUAAAGAGCUCGUAGGCGGCUCGUCGCGUCGACCGUGAAAACCCGCAGCUUAACUGUGGGCGUGCGGUCGAUACGGGCAUCACUGGAGUUCGGCAGGGGAGACUGGAAUUCCUGGUGUAGCGGUGAAAUGCGCAGAUAUCAGGAGGAACACCGGUGGCGAAGGCGGGUCUCUGGGCCGAUACUGACGCUGAGGAGCGAAAGCGUGGGGAGCAAACAGG